rnacentral:rRNA from 1 species
GCAAGUCGAACGGUAACGACAACUUCGGUUGGUCGACGAGUGGCGCACGGGUGAGUAACGCGUACACAAUCUGCCUUUGUCAGGGGGAAAGUCACUGGAAACGGUGCAUAAUCCCGCAUACCAUUCUUGAAUGGCAUCAUUUAAGAAUAAAAGCUUCGGUGGACAAAGAUGAGUGUGCGUCUGAUUAGCUAGAUGGUAAGGUAACGGCUUACCAUGGCGACGAUCAGUAGGGGGCGUGAGAGCGUGAUC